UACCUUAUUAAUUCUGUCAGCGCUAUAGGUUCAGCUAAAAGACUGAGCUAUGCAUAUUGAGUUCAACUUUGGAAUCAAACUGCGAACAGCUCAUCAUAGCUGAUGAAAUUUCUUAGGAAUUGUUUGGAUGGAUUACUGCGGUAAUUUUGGAGCUAAUACAUGCUACAAAAGUUUUGUUUUGUUCUACAAAUUUGCAGAAUUGGAAUAAAGCAGCAUAUUCCAAGUAGUGACCACCCUAUUAACCUCAUGGUAGUUCAUUAGUCUACUAUAGAUAUUACGGCUAACGGAGAAUAAGGGUUCGACUCCGGAGAGGGAGCUUUAGAAACGUUGCCACAUCGAAAGAAUGCAGCAGGCUAAGCUUAUCUAAUCCUGAGGAGGUAAGAUAGUGACUAGAAAUAAGAGUGGAAGCACGUCUGCUGCCAGUAGCCUCAGUAAUUACAACUCCACUAGUGUAAAUCGUUAGUGCUGCGAUGAAAAAGCUCGUAGUUGGAUAUGAGUUACACGUAAUGGUUCGCCUUAGGGGUUAAUCGUAUGUGUAUACUGAUUUUCUAUCAGAGUUUCGACUUUUUUAGUGACUAGUUAGUUUGCUUGAAUAAAUUAGAAUGCGCAAAUCAAGGGCUUGUAUAACUCGUUGAUCAUGAAAUAAUAGAAAAUGAAUUUGGUUCUAUUCAUCGAUUCAAAAACUGGAAUAGUGGUUGAAAGGGACGACUCGGCACAUUCGUAUCCCUGCGCGAGUGAUGAAAUUCGUGAACGUGAACUUUGCCAUUUAGCAAUUCGAUGGGGUACUAAUAAUAGGACGUUGUCAAGCAGCUUCUAAGACACGAAAGACUUUCGGUUCUUGAGUAGUAGGACUGCAGAACUG
rnacentral:ncRNA from 1 species